UAUUCAAUGUUAGCGAAGUAAAAAAAUAAGAAGAAUCAUUAAAUAAAUUUUAUACUUACGUAUUCGAUAACAAUUCCUCUUGAAUUUCAAAGGUUACUUGAGUUUACAGGAACAACGAACGAAAAUACGUCCUCCCUUUGUGGCAGAUGACACGCGUCUGAUGCGUUACCUUCCACGAACUCGUAAAGCAACGUAUUGCGCAUGCGCGAUAGACACGGCGGCUUUCGUUUCAUUAACGUAUAGGGAAUUUUCAAUCUCAUUUUAAAUAAACAUUUAUAUAUUCUUAAAUAGUAACAAACUUUUCAAUGACGAUUCGUAUACUUUAUAGAUACAUUUAUUUUUCACCAAUAAUAAUAACAUCGAAUUACAGUAGAACCAAUACAGGUAAUUAGACGUUCGACUCUUAUAUUUACGAUUAUUGUUAAAAACGGUGAAAUUGACGAUCCUUCCUUAUUUAACGUUAACAUAUUUAACACGCCUAAACUCUUAAUUGUAAUAUCCCGAAUCAUUAUACAAUACGUAGAUAUAUGUAUAUGAAAAGAAGAAGAACAAACAAAAAUAUAUUAAGACGAAAGAAAAAUGAAAAAGAGAAGAAAAAUAAAGUGCGAGAUUACUGUGAUAAUAUAUAUCUCAUUCCCUCUUUUCCUCUCUCUCUCUCUCUCUCUCUCUCUCUUCUUCUUUGUAUCUCAUUCUCUCUAAACGUUAUAGAUAUGUACUUUUAUCAUAAGAACGGAGUUAGUAAAAAUAAUGAGUUGUAUCUUGGAAAUUUUCUCGAAUAAGUAAAAUCAAUAUUUUUGUUCUCCUUCUUCUUCCUUUUUUUUUUUCUUCCAUUCCUUUACACAUUGUCAAUUAAGAACGUUUACCGGUUACACGACGACGCGAAGAAGAAGAAGAAGAAGGUGACAAUGCCGAUGACAAUGAUGUUGUUGAUGAUGAUGAUGAUGAUGAUGACGACGAGGAUGAAGAAACAGCACUAGAAGCCGUAAUAUUUCUAUGUGCCAUUGACCUUGGCGCGUAAUCGAGAAGCUUUCCGUCGGUAGGGGAAAGAAACCGACCCGAGACAGUUUCCAGGCUUUGCUUUGUUACUCGAUACCGUUUAUCGGUGGAUCGGAAAUCAUUGAUGUGUGGUUGUUGUGGUUCUGUUGAAGAUCCUGCAUUCGGCGCAUCUUUAACGACGUUGUUGUCGUCGUCAUUGUCGUCCCGGUGCCUGUUAUCGUUGUUGUAUUUUCUGUCCCUGUCCUUGUUCCUGUCGAGUUCAUCGAUGCUGUCGUUGUUGUAGUCACCGUGUCCCGUAUGUUGGGAGGAUCGACGAGUAUUGCCGCUAAUUGUUCCUGAAGAAAAAUCGCUCGCAGAAUAAAGUUAACACGUUGAGAUGGGAAAGAUUGCAACAGGGUUUUACCAUUCGAUUCUUUAUUUCGAUCAAAAGAAAAAAAAAAAAAAAAAAAAAAAAAAAAAAAAAAUAAAAUAAAAAUAAAAAUAAAAAAAAUAUAUAUAUAUAUAUAACGUUAACAAAACAGCAAUAUUAUCUAUAUAUUAAGUAUAAUAAAUUUCGUUGAAAUAAUUAAAAGAAUAAAAAGAAAAUUAAAACAAAUGUCGUUGAAAGAACCGUGCCGAUAAUUCUCUUCUUUUUUAUACAUAAUAAACACAUUCUCGUUCGGUAUCUUCGGUCUCCAGUGGGUGAAAAAGGAUGAAAAAAGAAAGAAAAGGAAGGGAAAAAGGUAAAGAAGAGAUAAAAUCAAAUCAUUCCAAGGAUUCAUGCGAGCAACGACGGACUGUCCUCGUGCUAAGACGUCGUCGAGCCCGUCGUCGUCCUCGUCUUCGUCGCCGACGUCGGACCGAGUACUUACGCACCAGCAACCUACUCGUAUUCGUUCCGAGUUUCCGUACCACAGAACGGAUCGUCACGGACAUCUGCUUCGUCUUCGCUGUCUCUCCCUUUUCGAUUAUAGAUACCGCCUACGCAUCAAAAUUAAAUCCUUUGCCAAUUUUCUCUAUCUCAUUUCGUAAUCAUCAAUUCAUCAUUAUAUUUUUUUAUUUUUAUUUCUAUUUUUUUUUUUAAUUUUUUUCUUUUAAUUUCUUUUUAAUUUUUCUAUUAUCUUAAAAAGGACCGAGUCAAUAGGAGAGAGAUAUUAUCUAUAUAAUAUUAAAAUUAUAUAUGCACGUA